rnacentral:rRNA from 2 species
AUACAUGCAAGUCGAACGCACCUCUCGUUUAGAUUGAAGGAGCUUGCCUCCUGAUUGAUAAACAUUUGAGUGAGUGGCGGACGGGUGAGUAACACGUGGGUAACCUGCCCUAAAGUGGGGGAUAACAUUUGGAAACAGAUGCUAAUACCGCAUAAAACCUAACACCGCAUGGUGUAGGGUUGAAAGAUGGUUUCGGCUAUCACUUUAGGAUGGACCCGCGGUGCAUUAGUUAGUUGGUGAGGUAAAGGCUCACCAAGACCGUGAUGCAUAGCCGACCUGAGAGGGUAAUCGGCCACACUGGGACUGAGACACGGCCCAGACUCCUACGGGAGGCNGCAGUAGGGAAUCNCUCCCCNAUGGACGAAAANCUGAUGGNNCCACNCCCC